rnacentral:misc_RNA from 1 species
GAUGAAGAACGUAGUGAAAUGCGAUAAGUAAUGUGAAUUGCAGAAUUCAGUGAAUCAUCGAAUCUUUGAACGCACAUUGCGCCCCCUGGUAUUCCGGGGGGCAUGCCUGUCCGAGCGUCAUUACAACCCUCAAGCUCAGCUUGGUGUUGGGCCCCGCCGCCCCGGCGGGCCCUAAAGUCAGUGGCGGUGCCGUCCGGCUCCGAGCGUAGUAAUUCUUCUCGCUCUGGAGGUCCGGUCGUGUGCUCGCCAGCAACCCCCAAUUUUUUUCAGGUUGACCUCGGAUCAGGUAGGGAUACCCUCUGAACUUAAGCAUAUCAAUAAGCGGAGGA